UUCACAUAACACUUUACAUAUUAUACUUCAGUUUCUUCUUUAUUUUACAGUCGAGAAAAUCAAUGAAACUCUCCACCAUCUCCAUCACUGCCACCACCAUUUUCAUCUUCAUCUCCGUCACCAUCAACACCAACAAUAGAAUCGUCUCUGUCGCCAUCAUCACCAUAUCAGUGAGUUAUCACACAUUUACUCUUUAAUUUCAUAUAUAAAAAAUAUCUCUCCUAUUUCUCUACGGAAAUCACCACCAGCACCACCAUAUCCUCCGCCAACUGAUUCCGAUUUAAUUGAAAAUUAUUAUCAGAAACAAAUGGUUCAUAAUCAGAAACACCUUCUUCUUCUUGUAAAGAUUAAUUUCAAAAUCAAAUUCAAAAAGAUUGAGAUCUGAUUUUAGGUCUUAAGUUCUGAUUUUUCCGCAUCGAUUUGGAAGAGGCAAUGGAUAUCGUCAUCAAUUUAUUGUAUCUGAAGAUACAAUCAUCCAAAAUGAUUAAAAAUUGGUUAUUUUCUUUCUCUUGUUUUGAAGUUUCUGUUGGUGUUGGUGGUAUUGUAACUGGUGGUGAUGUAGAUAGAGAAAGGUUAGACGACGGAAUUGAUGGAGAUUGUUCUGGUUGGAAUGGUGAAAUUUCGCGAUUGAGAUAAUGGUGGUUAAGAUUGUUUAUUGUGUUGGUGGUUGAAGAUGGUGGUGGUGGUGAUAUCUACCGUAUGGGAAAAGAAAAGAGUAUACAAAUGAUGGUGGUAUAACUUAUUGCCAAGGUAUGGUUUCCAUCCUGAAAUUGUUUAAUGUCAGUUAAAUUAAUUUUAAUUGAACAGUGGUUGAAUUGAAUAAUGGAAAUUAGGCUUGGAUUUUAAUUGAAAUUGGAAGAAGGGGUAUGGAGUGGAUUUGCUAUUAGACUUGGAUUUGUUAGCCUCUGUCAAGAUGCAUAGUUGAAAAUGUAUUUACAACAAGGUAAAAGUUUGAACUGGGAGUGGAUAGUUGGAUUUGUUAUUAUUCGUUAGGUGUUGUGGCGAUUUUCGAUAGACCUUUAAAUGAAUAUUUGGAAUGGGGGUGAAUAGUUGUAGGAGAGAACAAGGUCAAAGAGAGCUAAUACAAGAGAACAAUGAUUAGGUGUUGUAGUGGGUAUGUGGUGUUGCAGUUGAACUGAAGUUUGUUGGUCUUGUGGCUAGAAAUUGGGAGUAAAAGGCAUUGGUGGGAAACAAGAUGCAGCUGUAUUGUUACAACAAGAAGUACUGGUGGUGAUAUUUCCGGAUUACUGAAAUGAGUGUUGCAGGCGGUGCUGAUGGAUGAGUUAUUUUUGGCUGAGUUGAUAUGAUGAAUGCUUGCACAUCUUGUUUUGAGCAGCUGUCGGUCUUCACACAGCAGGAGAUAUUGGUUUUCAUCUGCACAAGGUACAAUUUUAUAGAUUUCGUUAUUGCUGGAUUCGUUCGCCUUGUGUAUCCAUUUUGUAGCCUAUAUGGAACAACUUUUAUAGCUUGAACAUAUUAUUUAUACUAUGUUUAACAUUUUGUGACGGAGGAGGUGGUGAAGGUUAUGAGUGUGUGUAGGCAAUGGUGAUGGAGCCAGUGGGUGGAAAUACAGGUUUAAAGACCAUUCAACAAAGUCGUCGGCAUAAGGUUGAAAAGCACGUCCUCCUUGUAUGUAUGGUAAGGUCAAUUUCCUCAUAUUUCUUCGGUUACAGUUUAUUGGUUUAUAAUUGUUCGAUAAAAUAUUUUUGAUGAUAAGGCUCUUAUGUUUAUUCUUUUUUGAAUAAUAAACGUAUACAAAAUUGAAGUAAAUGGAUUGUUAAUAGAUACGUGCAUGAUACUAAAAAUGAUAUAAAAGAAAUUAUCCAAAGAUUCCAGAAUCAACUUCCUAUAGUAAAUGGUGGUGGUAGUGUAUGUUGCAGUGGAGGUGGUUUGUUUUGUUAGAAUUAGUGGUGAUAUGUUGCAGUGGACUUGUGUUGGAUGUACUCAAACUAUUGGAGACAACUUGAGCUAGUUGCUUCCACUAUUGGAGACAACUUGAGCUAGUUGCUUCCUUUUUUGGAGACAACUUGAGAAAGUUGCUUUCACUUUUGGAGGCAACUUGAGCUGGUUGAUUCCAGAUUGGAGGCAACUUGAGAUAGUUGAUUCUAUUUAGGAGGCAACUUGGUUAUGUUUUUGGGUCCAUUCAUUCAUAUGAAAUUAUCUGAUAUUAUCUUAUAAACGAAUCUGUGGUCCAUUCAUUCAGAAAAUGUGUGUUCGACUCACACUAGGUUCAUUCAUUUGUGUGUAUGUUUUAAUUUUUGGAGACAACUUGUGAUAGUUGCCUCCAUAUUUGGAGACAACUUGGGCUAGUUGCCUUCAUUUUUGAAGACAACUGGAGCUAGUUUCCUCAAAUUCGGAGACAACUUGAGUUAGUUGGUUCCAUUUUUUUUGCAACUUGUUUCUGUACACUAUUUGUUGGAGACAACUUGAGUUAGUUUCCUCCACUUUUGGAGAAGACUUGAGCUAGUUGCCUCUGAUAUGGACACAACUUCAGCAAGUUGACUCCACCUGACGGUGGUAGUUGGCGGCAGUGAUGGUGGUUGACGGCGGCGGUGGGUGGUGAAUACGAGGAAAGUGGUGGUGGUGGCUGAUGGUCAUCGGUGGCGGAAAGUGAUGGUUGGUCGUGGCGAUUGGCGGUGGCGGAAAAUGGCGGUGGUCGGCGGUGGAGGUGGUGG